UUAGUAGGCGGCGGAAGAUAACCCAAAAGGGAUUCCUUCAGUAAUGGCGAAUGAACGGGGAAAAGCUCAGCAAAGAAAUCAGGGACCCCGUCCUUGAGUUGUGGACUUGAGAGGUAUUGCCAAUGGUGGCGCAGGUGCGGGCCUCUUGGAAAAGGGCACCACAGAGGGUGUGAGUCCUGUUUGUCAUCUGUAGUCCGCCAUGUACGGCAUGCCUCCUCAGAGUCACGUUCCUUGGAAUUGGAGCGCGAAGGUGGUGGUGGCUUUCAUCUCAAGCUAAAUAUGGGUUCGAGACCGAUAGCAAACAAGUACCAUGAGGGAAAAUUGAAAAGAGCUUUGGAAAGAGAGUUAAAAGUGCCCGAACUUGCUGAUAGGGAAGCGAAGGGAGCUGACGUUGCUUGGUGACAUUUUCCGCGCAAGAGUAGGAUGGGUUCUGAUUGCAAUGUGCGUAGUGCUUCUUGCCGUGCGUGUCGAUGCCAAGCAACGAGUGGGGAGAGCACCAGGGAUAUGAUUGUUCUGUCCCCGGGUGGACGAAGGUGCCUGGUCGCAUCCAUUUGUGGGCUGAAACAAGUGGUGGCUGGUUGCAGCGCUCCAUAACUGCCAGGCAGUUGGGGUGCAGCCCUGAUACGCAGACGAGGACAAAGUGCUUCUGUUCGACCCGUCUUGAAACACGGACCAAGGAGUCUGACACUCAUGCAAGCUCGCGGGUGGGUAAACUUGUUCGCGUAAUUAAGGUGUCUGUUGUGAUUUUUGCACCAACGCCCGACCAAUCAAUUGAGAGAGGUUUGAGUGUGAGCAUUUCUGUCAGGACCCGAAAGAUGGUGAACUAUGCUUGAGAAGGGUAAGUUCAGGGGAAACU
rnacentral:rRNA from 1 species